UACGGAGGGUGCAAGCGUUAUCCGGAUUCACUGGGUUUAAAGGGUGCGUAGGAGGACAGGGAAGUCCGUGGUGAAAUCUCCGAGCUUAACUCGGAAACUGCCGUGGAUACUCUCUGUCUUGAAUCCCCUGGAGGUGAGUGGAAUAUGUCAUGUAGCGGUGAAAUGCUUAGAUAUGACAUAGAACACCCAAUUGCGAAGGCAGCCUCGCUACACUAUUAUUUGACG
rnacentral:rRNA from 1 species